UGCAUCGGCCGGGAAUCGAACCCGGGCCUCCAGCGUGGCAGGCGAGCAUUCUACCACUGAACCACCGAUGU
rnacentral:tRNA from 1 species